rnacentral:rRNA from 1 species
GGACUACUGGGGUAUCUAAUCCUGUUUGAUCCCCUUGCUUUCGCGCAUCAGCGUCAGGAAUAAGAUAGAAAACCGCCUUCGCCACCGGUGUUCUUCCACAUAUCUACGCAUUUCACCGCUACUUGUGGAAUUCCGUUUUCUCCUCCUACCCUCUAGAGAUACAGUUUCAAAUGCAGUUCUGAGGUUGAGCCCCAGGAUUUCACAUCUGACUAUUAUCCCCGCCUACGCGCCCUUUACGCCCAAUAAAUCCGAUUAAUGCUUGCACCCUCCGUAUUACCGCGGCUGCUGGCAC